UACAGAGACUGCAGGCGUUAUUCGGAUUCACUGGGCGUAAAGGGUGCGCAGGCGGUCGUGUGUGUCAGGUGUGAAAUCCCGGAGCUUAACUCCGGAACUGCGCCUGAAACUACAUGACUAGAGCAUUGGAGAGGGAAGUGGAAUUCAUGGUGUAGCAGUGAAAUGCGUAGAUAUCAUGAGGAACACCAGAGGCGAAGGCGACUUCCUGGACAAUUGCUGACGCUCAGGCACGAAAGCAUGGGGAGCAAAAGGG
rnacentral:rRNA from 1 species